rnacentral:rRNA from 1 species
UGGGCAACCUGCCCCUCUCUCUGGGAUAACCCCGGGAAACCGGAGCUAAUACCGGAUACUCCGGCUGGAUCGCAUGGUCCGGCCGGGAAAGGUCCGCCGGAGAGGGAUGGGCCCGCGGCCUAUCAGCUUGUUGGUGAGGUCACGGCUCACCAAGGCUACGACGGAUAGCUGGUCUGAGAGGACGACCAGCCACACUGGAACUGAGAUACGGUCCAGACUCCUACGGGAGGCA